GCUAACUGAAACAAUAAAGGGUCCUAAUAUAUAGGCCUUCUUCUGCCCCCUCACUUAACUGAUUAACAGUUAAUUGUUCUGUUUCCCUUUUCUCCUUUCCUAUACUCUCUAAGUCCUAACAGAAUCCUUAAUCCCAUGGGCUUUAAGAAUUGUCAUGAAAUCUUCACGAACCUGAUAAAGCCACCAAGAAGUGUUUGUAAAAGGUUAUUUGACCUAUGUCUAAACAGCUUUAUAGGUUUUAUGAGUGCGAGAUACAUAGCAAAGAGAUGGGUGAAUGGUGACUCAAUUGAUGCAACACAACUAAGUGUCAACUUUCUUCUACGGAGGAUGAGGUGAGAUGCGGCUCAUAGUACUGUCCAACAAGCCAAAGUUCAAUGUGAGAAGCCCAAGAGGUGUAGUUCUUUGAUCCAAUAACUGAGACAAGAGCGGGGCACUGAUGUGGCUGGUAAAAAUAGCAGCGUCAUACAUUGCAGUGCCAGAGGUACCAAAAACAAUACAAAAAAGUGGUGAAAAAUGAAAAGAGUUGUCCAGACACCAAACAAGAUCGAAUCCGGCUCAAGGAAGCUCUGUUGAUAGUGUCAAGAACAAAUGCCGGGAGCGCCACUAUGUGUGGCAGAUAUGGGCAGCACGUGGGAGAAGCAUGUAGAGAGAGAGGAGGUGCGUGCAACCUGCCAUAGCUAGGCCAUUCUUGAGGAGAUGGUGCCAAUAAUGGUCUUUGUAUCAUAAUAGUGGUGUUGGAAUAAUGUUUCAGGAAAAGUGAUGAGAAAAAAUUGAGUCUGAUGAAAAUUGGGUUCACCGGGAUAUUCCAAAAUUAGCCUCCUUUUAUAUAUAUCAUGUUGAAGCAGAGAGAAACAAGUAAACAUAGGAUGAAUUCCGCUCGCAGUGGAACUAUUAAAUUUAUAGGAGAGAAAGCAUAAUUACAAAAUAUUUAUUCCAGAAUAUCGAUUUACCCAGUUUUAGGUUAAUAACAUAAAUAUAGAAUUAAUUUAGUUAAUCCUAGUAUUCAACGUUACUAUAUUUCAAAGAUUCUUACAAAAAUAAUCUCAUUAUAUAUUGGGCAUCCUCCGAUGAACUGUUAUUUUCUGAGGAACUACUAUUUUCACUGUUUUGUUUUGUUUGAUACAUUUAACCGCUGAUUAUAUCCUCUUUUUCUCCAUCGCAGAAAGAUAAUGAAGAUGAAGAGCUUUGUAGCGUUUUUGUCCCUACGAACCAUCUGUAUAUUGGCGAUAUAUUUCUGGUUAACUCCAAAGAUAUUAUAAGACCAAAUCUUUCUAUUCGAGAAGGCAUAGAAAUCAUUGUUUCCGGGGGAAUGACUAUGCCGCAGUUGAUAACUCCGGUUGAAAGGGCUACUCGACCGAAUGAAAGAAUAUCUUUAAAUAGAAUUGGAUAAAGGAUUAAAUCCGUGGUUGGAACCAUGUGGGUGAUGGAAAUUAUCAGUCUGAACCUCCAUUUAUUUUAAUAUACGAAAUUUGUUGUUUAAUAUUUUGUUAACUAUUGUCUGUUCCAAGCUGCAAGAUAACUUGUAGAACUGUAGUUGUAAGCUUGUAAUCUCAUCCCUGUUUUUGCUCUACCAGUUACCCCCCAACUUCAGGCUGACACAUAUUAACUCCAAAGUAUUAAUAUAUGUUCGAAAGUCUGCGUGUUCUUAACAUUAGAUAGGAUCAGUGUCUAUGGAAAUUUUAUA